AACGCAUAUUGCACUCUUUGGUAUUCCGAAGAGUAUGCCUGUUUGAGGGUCAUUUGAAAAUUAAUCAAGAUUAUUAGUCUUGGCUAUUAGUCUUGGAAUAAUGAGUUUUCCGUUCAUGUCAAUCUUUGAUUGGAUAGAUGGUAACUCGAAAUCAAUGCUAACGUCUUGGCUUGUAAUAGACGCGUUUAUGUUUAAAUCUUCGCAACUAAUCAAGUCUCGGUAUGGCAUGUUCAAAUUCUUUGAUAAAAGUCAAGGAAAUAUAAAACAAUUUUAUUAUCGUGACCUCAAAUCAGGUAGGAUUACCCGCUGAACUUAA
rnacentral:misc_RNA from 1 species